UGUAAAAUUGACACAAGUGUUGCAUGCAGUUUUAACUCAAUGUUGUCAGUUUAGUGAAAUGAAAGUGAAAAUAUCGUGUUAGAUUUACUAGGCAGAUAGGCCUAGCCUAUUUAUAGAUUGUGUUAUGUUGAAAGAACCCAACGCAGUCAGGCAAUUUCUUCAAACUACCCAGAAUGCAACGCUCCAGCUUUUCAAAUUGCAGGAAGGCGCGAGGAGUAAACAGACUAGUUCGCCUGCAAGAAAUGUACCACGUGAUGCAGUAGCCUGUUGAUGCUGGCAAAAGAUGCAAUCUGGAGGAUUUCAGGAGAUGGCUCUUGCUCACUGGCAGUGACUUGGGUCAUGUGAGACAGCAUCAGAGCUCGGGUGACAUCUCUCGCUCGGGUGAAA